rnacentral:rRNA from 1 species
CCUACGGUGGGCAGCAGUGAGGAAUAUUGGUCAAUGGGCGCGAGCCUGAACCAGCCAAGUAGCGUGAAGGAUGACUGCCCUACGGGUUGUAAACUUCUUUUAUAAAGGAAUAAAGUGAGGCACGUGUGCCUUUUUGUAUGUACUUUAUGAAUAAGGAUCGGCUAACUCCGUGCCAGCAGCCGCGGUAAUACGGAGGAUCCGAGCUUUAUCCGGAUUUAUUGGGUUUAAAGGGAGCGUAGAUGGGUUGUUAAGUCAGUGGUGAAAGUUUGCGGCUCAACCGUAAAAUUGCAAUUGAUACUGGCAGUCUUGAGUACAGUGGAGGUAGGCGGAAUUCCUAGUGUAGCGGUGAAAUGCGUAGAUAUUAGGAGGAACACCGGCGGCGAAGGCGGCCUGCUGGACCGUAACUGACGUUGAGGCUCGAAAGCGUGGGGAGCAAACAGGAUUAGAUACCCUUGUAGUC